CUUCCUAGACUUUCUGCACUUCAUCAGUAUAAGGGAGAGUUUGUAGCGGAAUACAGGGUGAGAUGAGGUCUUGAUCAUCGAUUGUCAGAUGAGUGAAGGUUGGUGUUGCUUGGUCUACAGUUUUCUGCAGGAAUUUCCUUAGGCAUGGGAGAACACAACAAAUGAGAAGAGCGAGAAUAAAAAGAAAAAUUAGUAAGGCAAUACCAAUCUGGACUAAAGCUCUCUGCCAACCAGUCAUCCAACCAAACCAUUUUUCCCAGGGAUCAGUACCUCCAGAGUUUCUCUUUAACUCUUCUGAGAGUCUAUUUAAUUUAGCUAUGGCCAGAGUGACUUUACCAUUAGGACCUGUGUUUUCUGGAAUGUAAGUGCAACAAGUCAUAGUGUCGGGAAGUAUUUUACAGACCCCCCUUUUUCGGCUAAGAUCAUGUCUAAGGCCAGUCUGUUCUCGAAGGUCAUUUGGGAUGUGGCCUGUAAUUGCUCGGCCAAGCCCUGGAGGGCAUCCCUGGUGUAGUUCACGAAGCGCUG